AGAAUCAAAAUCAAAUGGUCAACAAGAGACAGGAGCACAGGAGUUGGACUUACCAUGAGUCCUAGGAACACCAGGGAGGAGCACGAGGGGUGCUUACAGCCUCAUCAGCAGGCGUUUACAGAAAUAUUUAAGAAUCAGUCCUGCACAGAUCCGAAGUUGGAGAUAUUCCUUGUGGGGAUAAAGUGAGGAUUAAACCAUAUGAGUAGAUUCUUGUCUCCUAGGCAUGCGAGCCCUGGGGUAAGUAGGAGAUUCUUAGAAUGUUAAAAGAUUGGGGGGAAAAGCCUGAAGA
rnacentral:lncRNA from 1 species